rfam:Oryza sativa (indica cultivar-group) chromosome 3, whole genome shotgun sequence.
UUUAAGUGCAAUCAUGAGCUUUCACGCCCAACUUUAAUCAUCUGUUUUAUUUGAACUUUUUAUAAAUAGUAUUUUUAUUGUUAUGAGAUUAUAAAAUUUAAAUAAGACGGAUGAUUAAAGUUAGACACGAAAACUUAUGACUACACUUACA